rnacentral:lncRNA from 1 species
AUGCCUCCUACUCCUAAGUUUGAGCCAAAAUUGGGUCGAGCAAAGGGAGUACAUUAGAUCUGAUCUACCUAGGACAUGUGCCAAAUGCUUGAUCCCUUAGUUAGAAUAACGCAUCCAUGUCACUUGGGCAAGAUGAAGCAUUGCAUCGUCAUGAUUAACCAGGAGCAACCGUUGAGAGGCAUAUUAGAUUCAAAGUGUCAUGUGCGUUGUUUGAGACAUGUGCAUAAAUGCACCAUCUAGAGAUUUGAGUUUGGCAUAUCCUAUGAUGCCACGUGGUGGCAAUCUAAUGGCCUUGGGCAAACUGAUGCAAGAUCAGGACCGUCUGAAGCAUUAUAAAUAAGGGCACCUCUUUCUUCCUCCAUUCUUUUUCUUUUCAUUGCUUUCUUCUCCCCUAUGGCAACGACACUCCUGCGACAAAGACCAAGACCUCAUCAGCAAUCUUCAGCUAUCCCUCCAGGUUUCUUGACUAAGCAAUCUCUGGUUAAGCAG